UACGUAGGGGCUAGCGUUGUCCGGAUUUAUGGCGUAAAGAGCGUGUAGGCGGCCAGGUAGGUCUGCUGUGAAAACUCGAGGGCUCAACCCUCGAGACGUCGGCGGAAACCAUCUGGCUAGAGUCCGGAAGAGGAGAGUGGAAGUUCCUGGUGUAGCGGUGAAAUGCGCAGAUAUCAGGAAGAACACCCGUGGCGAAAGGCGGCUCUCUGGGCCGUAACUGACGCUGAGGAGCGAAAGCAUGGGGAGCGAACAGG
rnacentral:rRNA from 1 species